GUUAAGAAUUUUAUCAAUCUGAUCUUGGAAGCUAAGCAGGGUCGGGCCUGGUUAGUACUUGGAUGGGAGAUUGCUUGGGAAUACUGGGUGCUGUAGGCU
rnacentral:rRNA from 1 species